rnacentral:rRNA from 1 species
UACGUAGGGCGCAAGCGUUUAUCCGGAAUUAUUGGGCGUAAAGAGCUCGUAGGCGGUUUGUCGCGUCUGCCGUGAAAGUCCGGGGCUCAACUCCGGAUCUGCGGUGGGUACGGGCAGACUAGAGUGAUGUAGGGGAGACUGGAAUUCCUGGUGUAGCGGUGAAAAUGCGCAGAUAUCAGGAGGAACACCGAUGGCGAAGGCAGGUCUCUGGGCAUUAACUGACGCUGAGGAGCGAAAGCAUGGGGAGCGAACAGG